AUGGCCGUGCUCGAUGCCUUUUGGGAGAUUGUGUCAGAGAAUGACAUUCUCCUGCUCUCCAAAGACAAAUUUGUGGAGGGAGUCACCCCCACUGCAUAUGCCUUUGCCAUAGUGGAACAGCGGGGUGGUAAAGGCACAAUCUCUCUUAGAACAUCUGUGGCAGGGGAAAUUAAAAAUCUGAAUGUUGCAAAGCCUGUCAAGUCUUCAAGACUAGAGCGCAUUACUUCCAUUCUCUCAACAUCAGGAAGCUUUCUGUCGAUUUUAAAGAUAUGCAGCUUGUCUACUAUACUGCGAGAGUACUCUGCAAUGCACUCUGUAGCUUCACUUCCUUUCAAGGAUUUGAUCCUUUCAGCAUCUGAGAAGAAUAAAGACGGAGAUGAUCAAAAUCGUGCCUGGAAUGUCCCUGAGCCACUUAGGGAAUACCUGAAAACAAACCUUAAUGAUUCACAGCUAGAUGCAGUUAAUGCAGGCCUUUCGCGCAGAUCCUUUGUCCUUAUUCAGGGCCCUCCAGGAACCGGAAAAACACAAACUAUCCUUGGACUUCUCAGUGCUGUUCUCCAUUCCACUCCAGCAAGAAUGCAGACCAAAGGAGGGUUCAAUGUUCAAAAGCAUGGGCCUGAGCUGGACACUGAGGGCAAGCUUGCAAACUGGAUGAAAGCAUCUUCUUGGCUGCUUGGUGCAAAUCCUCGCGAUUUGAUUAUGCCUGUUGAUGGUGAUGAUGGUUUUUAUCCUACUGGGAAUGAGCUGAAACCUGAAGUCAUAAGUUCCAGUGGCAAGUAUCGGGCCCAUGUGUUGGUUUGCGCUCCAUCCAACUCAGCACUUGAUGAGAUUGUAUUGCGUGUUCUUCAAACAGGAAUACGUGAUGAAAAUAACAACACUUACAAUCCCAAGAUUGUGCGUAUUAGACUAAAGGCGCAUCAUUCUGUCAAAGCAGUUUCCAUGGAUCAUCUUGUAUUUUCUACCCUCAGUUUCAGUGGAUCAGCCAUUCUCACCAGGAUGACUCGUGGUUUUGAUGUUGUUAUAAUUGAUGAAGCCAUGCAAGCUGUAGAACCAACGACUCUUGUACCCCUGGUUCAUGGAUGCAGACAAGUUUUUCUUGUUGGCGACCCAGUUCAGUUGCCAGCAACUGUAAUUUCAUCGACUGCUCAGGAGUUAGGGUAUGGAACAAGUUUGUUCAAGAGAUUUCAAGCUGCUGGUUUUCCUGUGCAAAUGCUCAAAAUUCAGUAUCGUAUGCACCUAGAGAUAGCAUCCCGCUGUCAAUUCAUCUGA
rnacentral:rRNA from 1 species